rnacentral:tRNA from 1 species
AAGAAGUUAGUCUAAAAAAGAUUAUUAAUUUCGACUUAAUAGAUUGCGGUUCACCCCACAACUUCUUU